AGGACGAUGUGCCUUUUACUCGAGCCAUGGGGUGGGCCAGCAGUCACGGGACAGGGCAGUGGCUGUGUCCUGCUCUGGCUCUGUCCCUGACCUUUGGAAACUGUUCUGCCUGAGCCUCACGUCCCUCUUCAGUAAAACGGCUCUUGCAAGCAUGAGGUUUACUUCACAUUUCUAAAGUGCUUUGAAGGAUUGCAAGCCAAUUCCAGAAGCAGCCAGGAAGAAGAAACGGCAUAGCCGGGAGAAUGCGUUACGUGGGCUUCUUCUUCAAAAUGGCAUGAAAUCAAGAGGGAUUUCCCAACAGCCUUUCAAGGGGUCUGAAAUCUGAAAUCCAGCCCACAGAAACAACAUGAGGAAAUCUGACACGGCGUGAGCACUGUACUGGUGUGUUUUUUCCUAGGAAGUUCACCACCUG